AACGAACGCUGGCGGCAGGCCUAACACAUGCAAGUCGAACGCCCCGCAAGGGGAGUGGCAGACGGGUGAGUAACGCGUGGGAACCUACCUAGUGGUACGGAACAACUCGGGGAAACUUGAGCUAAUACCGUAUACGCCCUCCGGGGGAAAGAUUUAUCGCCAUUAGAUGGGCCCGCGUCGGAUUAGCUAGUUGGUGAGGUAAUGGCUCACCAAGGCUUCGAUCCGUAGCUGGUCUGAGAGGAUGAUCAGCCACACUGGGACUGAGACACGGCCCAGACUCCUACGGGAGGCAGCAGUGAGGAAUAUUGGACAAUGGGCGCAAGCCUGAUCCAGCCAUGCCGCGUGAGUGAAGAAGGCCUUAGGGUUGUAAAGCUCUUUUACCCGGGAUGAUAAUGACAGUACCGGGAGAAUAAGCUCCGGCUAACUCCGUGCCAGCCGCCGCAGUAA
rnacentral:rRNA from 1 species